rnacentral:rRNA from 1 species
AGAACGAACGCUGGCGGCAGGCUUAACACAUGCAAGUCGAACGCGUGUAGCAAUACACGAGUGGCGCACGGGUGAGUAACGCGUGGAUAUCUGCCUUUUGGUUCGGAAUAACCCCGGGAAACUGGGGCUAAUACCGGAUGGUUCCUACGGGAUAAAGAUUUAUCGCCAAAAGAUGAGUCCGCGUCCGAUUAGCUAGUUGGUGGGGUAAUGGCCUACCAAGGCGACGAUCGGUAGCUGGUCUGAGAGGACAAUCAGCCACACUGGGACUGAGACACGGCCCAGACUCCUACGGGAGGCAGCAGUGGGGAAUAUUGGACAAUGGGGGCAACCCUGAUCCAGCCAUGCCGCGUGAGUGAUGAAGGCCUUCGGGUUGUAAAGCUCGUUUUGCGGGGACGAUGAUGACGGUACCGCAGAAUAAGCCCCGGCUAACUCGUGCCAGCAGCCGC